UUAGCCCGCACCUGCAGGCGAUCAGCUGACCAGAAGAGGCAGGGACUGGGACAUAUAUAAACCCCAGGAUCGGGACCAGAGAGGCAGUUCUCUGCCAGCAGCUAAGGGGGAAGGAGCUCUCCUAGAGGAAACUAAAUGAAGAGGCUUGACAGCUCAUCUCCUGUUUCUGCCCAUAGGUGACAUGUCCAGGAGACUUUCCUUGCAGGGACACAAGCUGUCCAGGAGACUUGCCUUUACCUUGACAUGUCCAAGAGACUUACCAAGCAAGGACACAAGAUGGCAGCCCAGUGCCAAGCGAAGGCCAAGAUUCUGCAGACUGCUUUCCCCGUGAUGUUUCAAGAGCACAGCAGCAGAGCACCGCAAUGUGUGACAUGUCACAUUACACAUGUCCACUAAUGGAGGUACUUGAACACUCUGAACAGACACGCACAGAGGUCUCCGUGCUGUCCUCUACUCCAGAGACUUUACCAAUCAUGGCUGCGACUCAAGCUGGCUCAAGAGAUGAAGAUAGUGGCGGGAUAGUAGUCAUGGCACCUGUGGGUUCCUCUGAGGAGGAAAGACCCGCAACCUCGACCUCCACACCCAGUAUGCUCCACUUGAUAUGCCACUGUUGAGUAGACGCAGGCCAGAUAGGCAUGCUGUCAAUGAUGCACGGACAUAUAGCAUCAUCAGUGUCAUCAGUACCUGCACUGUGUGGCUGCACAAGAUUGCCAGCCAGGUAUGUCUCACCACCAGCUGCUUACCGGCUGUCCACCAUGGCAGGAGGCAUUCCCACACAUGUGGGAGAGAACUGCAGUCAAGCUCGGAAACCAAAAGGCAUUCCAGAGUCAAGUCCGGAAAGUUAGAAUAGUUUUUGAUUCACUGUUAUAAAAGUUGUUGAUUAUUGGUUCUUGCUUGUCAUUACAGAAGUUGCUGAUUAUUGCUUAUUGUUUGUCAUUAUAAAAUUUAUUAAUUAUUUCUCAUUGCCUAUUGUUACCUUUUAAAUGUUUUGUGGUGAAUUGCUAAAUUAUGGAAAUUAUACUUAAUAUAUCAAUUGUGUUUAAUUAUGUAAGCAAAGGUUUCUAUAUGUUUGCCUUCAUGUUCCAUGUGUGUAGAGGCAAGGGGAGGAACUUUCAUAAGGUUGAUGGGCAUGUAUUUGUUUCAAUGGGAGUGAUUAGCGGGUCCUCAGGCCAGGCUGCCUGGAUUUGUUCUCCUCACUGCCAAAUCAACAGCAGUUGGCAGAGGGCCCCAUAGAGUGACUGGUAAGACUAGUAAAACAGGAAAAAUUGGUAACUCCCCAUCCCGCCCCCCAAUCCAUGCUGACAGCUCAUCCAUGAUGGGCGCUGUCAGGGUUAGGGGGGGCUGUGGGUGGGGAUUGGCAGAGAGACCCUCUGACGGGUGCCCGACACCCACUUCUGCCCAACACCCCUAACCUCCCAGGACCUGGGGACUCCUGGGACCAUGCAGCCAUCAUUUGCUUUGAAUGGCAAAUGAAACCACUAUCAGGUGCCCACAUCCACCAGCCAAGAUGUUAUUAAUUCCUUAAUUCCUUACAUGACCCAGGUUAAAGUUUUGUGACCGAGUGGCUGGAAUAUUCAGGUUAGUAGGAAAUGAAAUCUCUCCCUCUGGGCCACCUGCAUAAAAUGGCCAAGCAGUUUUUUUCUUUAUUGCAUUAAACUGAGGUGGAUAAUGGGCCAAUGGUGUACCUGUCAAUCAACGCCUCCCCUCUGUGGGAGCAGCACAGCCCAGGCAUGCACCCUCGCCAAGACAAUGAUGGCUUGGAGGUGUGCGCUCAGGCGGCGGCCACUUCCCAUGGUUGUUUGCUGCCUGCAGUCCUGGGAGCAGGUGGCUGCAAUUUAUUUUUUACCAAGCAAUGAAACUGCUACCAGCCACAUGCAAAAGAUGGCCAAGCAAUUUUGUAUUCCUUGCAUUAAGCAGGGGCAGAUUCUCAUAGAUGAUGGGGCCACUGGCAACCAAGGCCCUCUGGUGAGCUAAGGGCAGCAUGAUCCAGGCAGGCAUGGUGGCUUAAGGAAUAGAGGGCCAAUUCUGUCUGCAUUCAUUUCCUGACCAGCUACCCGGCCCUGCCAUGCAAGGUUGACUUACCAUUCUCACUGGGCAGACACCCCCAUGCUCAGCCAAGCCCCGAUCUGAGGCAAGGCAGUGCACAACCCAUGGUACAGAGCUUCUUAUCUCUGUAAUGUUGCAAAGUUUCACAAAAGGCUUCUGUCUCUUGGAUCUGCAAAGCCAACAUCUGUAUGCAUGGGAGAGUCCAGCUCAGGCUCCUGAAACCUCAAGGUCACAUGCAAAGAGCACGAUGUGGGGUGGCCCAUGAAGGCCUUCCAUCUGUAAUCACAGUCCUAAGGCCAGUUCCUUUUAUGAGGAAAUAUACUUAGUACUGUGGUCAUGGUGGGGGUGGGGGGCUGCUUGACUUCCCCAGAGGUGUUCUGUUAGCCCGAAUAGAGGUGAUCUAAGUCCCUGAAUGAGUGCUCUGGCUGACCAAUUCAUGUUUACUAGAUAAAUUAUGUUUAAUUAUCUAAAUAAAGUG